UCCUUUCUUCCUUUUUCUUUCCUCUAAAAAAUGUUUAAUACUUCCAAGGACUUUCAAGAUUAAUCAUGUUUGGAUUUAGUUUUCUUAUUUUUGUGAGGUGGUUUGAUUGUAGGAAGGAGGAAGUAUAGAUCUGUUUGGUUUCACAGUUAAGAUAUAUAUGGUCCCAAAAAUUUGGGUGUCAGUGUCAAUUUUUUUUUUUUUAAUCUCCUGCUUUCACAUUGAAGGGCAGAGCCUACAAAAUGUUGUAUAUAUCAAAAGACAAAAAGAAACAGCAGCAAUAUCUUGUUCUGUAAUUCAAAGACAAGUUUAGUGUGUUUGUGGUACUUUGGGUUUUUCAAGACUGGGAUACUAAUCCCUAGACAUUGCCUUCACUCCACCUUUUGUCCUUCUGAGUGUUGUCUCAGGAGUUGGACCAUUGUUAUCCUUGUAAGAAAUACUAAGCUUAUUUUUUUUUUUUUAAGCAAUUAUUUCUUUCUUCCUCGCUGAGGGUAGGUGGGACAGUUUGGGUAGGUAGUGUUUUACUUUGGUCUCAGUAUUUGAGUUAAACUGCUUUUUGCUAAUGAGUGGACUGGUUGUUAGCAGGUUUAUUUUUCCUGCUGUUGAUUGUUAUUAGUGGCAUUAACUUUUAGAGUGUGGCUGGUGAGAUUAAUUUUUUUUAAUAUCCCAGCUAGAGACAUGGCCUUUAACUGACCUAAAAAGGUUUGUUGUGAUUUACUUUUUUGUGUGUAUCCUCUCUUUUUUCGUGUCUUCAGUAAACCCACAAUAGUUAGUCUAACUUUAAAAAUGGGAGUUGAUGUCCUUAUAGGUCAGUACCCCUAAGAUAAACCUGAAGGAGGUAUUGUCUCUUGGGCAUGUUUAAAAACACCUAAAAGGAAGCUUAGAUGGACUCGUGGCACAAUAAAUGCAUUUAAUGCCAGCUAAUGCGGACUAUUAAAAGCAAGGCCACAGAGCAUUUGAUUAUAUAGGGAAGAAUAUCUAGACAGUAUUUUUGAGAAUAACAUAGCUGUGCUACUGCUUAUCUGUUGGAGAACAUCCCAGAUUUGCUUAUUUUCUGUGCCUAUGAUAAUUGAGCUUAAGGAUUUGAGGGGGCAAUUGUUAAACAUAUUACUUCUAUUCUUGGGAAAAUAGAAGUUUAGAAGUGUUAAUAACAAAUGUCACUGUGACCUCCUUUACUGAUGGGACUAGUUUAUGCCAGAUCAUUUUCUGGCACAUAAGGAGUGGCUUGGAUGGCUUGAUAACUUUUUGUAAGAUAGGAGACAUCUGAAAUUUCAUGUUUUCCUCCAUAGCCCUAUAUCCAAUAUUUAAAAUUUUCUAGAUUGCCAAUACUAGUGGCCCAUGAAAUGUUCUCAUUAGACUUUAAAACAAUGCACAGGGCUUGAAUUUUCUUGUCAUUUGACUUUAAAGGGAAGUUUGAUUCAUAAUACUUAUCCUUAUGUACAUUCUGAUAAUAGCAAUCUCAUCUCUCCAAAUAUGUUAAAUGACAAAAUUACACAAUGUUGAUGCACAUUUGAUAAUCUUUUUUGAGAAUGUGAAAGUACAAAGUACAAUAGACUUCAGCAAUCUUGAGUGCCAAGAUUAAUACAGGAAAAGAGAGAUAGUUGAAUGAGUAUAUAGGAUUUGAAUCUUAAGAUAGUAAAAAUGUAGAAAGACCAUGCUGGUUUCUUGGGUAUCAGUUUCUUCAGCAGUCCGAGUAUAAACUUAGGAAAAAAGUUAGCAUUAAGCACCUUUACCUUCCUAGAUAAGCUUCAGCUUGCUCUUGCCAAGAGAAGAGUGCUUGAGUUACAGAAGGCAUACUUAGUUUGAAGAAUUCAGCCCUUUUGUAAACUUCCAGAUAUCAAAAUAGAUUUUGAUAUAUAAAUGAGUUUUCUGAGAUGACACUGCCUCUAUUUCUAUAACCAUUUCACCAGGACUAUCUAAUCAGUCCUAUGAAUGUAUCCCUAAAUGUGGUUAUUGAAAACUGAAUAGCUGCCUCAUGACAAUUAAGUACAUGUUAUUUAAGGAGGGGGAAAAAAAUAAAUUUUGAAUUGAGUAUGUAGGCUCCCUAUCAUUAUAGUUUCUUUUUCCACACUAGACAAUGACUUUACCUAAAUGGUAUGUUUGAAAAGGUUAGUUGUCCUACAUCAGACUUGUUUGGAAAGGGUUAAUUGUCCUACGUCAAACUUGUAUUAAGUAAUUCCAUCCAUUUAAGGAAAAGGAGGAUGUAGAAGCUGGGCACUAGUUCACAUGCCUAUGAGUCAGUAAAGACUCGAGUAAUGUCCCAUUUGAGUUGGCUAUUUUGGAGCAUAAAAAUUGUUGAGGUAAAACAAUUCUAUUAACUGGAAGAUCAGAGCAUAUAGCCAUCAUAUUUUUUAGGACAGAGUUUUUACUAUGGGGCGGAUAGGUAAAGAUUAUCCUUAUGGUAAUUGCAUUUAGGUUCUAAAGAAAAGAAUCUGCAGAGAAAUCUAUGCAAUAGACAAUUUGUCCAGACUAGUUUUCAUUUGGGGAAAGAAGUUCUAAAAUAUCCCCAAAGCAGUUAUUCAUCAAUUGAAAGUCCUCCAAAAAUAGAACUAUUGGGAAACUCUGGUUUCUGGGGUGGAAGAGAAAAGCUCCCUCAGUUUUUUGGAGGGAAUAACUUUAAAAAUACUUAAAUGGCAAGUUUACUUGGUGCAGUUAAAAAUUAAACUUGUUGAUUUUAACAUUGCUGUUACAUCUGAAAUAAACUUAUGUGAUGUUCUGGUAGUAA